GACGUAGGGCGCGAGCGUUGUCCGGAUUUAUUGGGCGUAAAGAGCUCGUAGGCGGCUUGUCGCGUCGUCCGUGAAAACCUGGGGCUCAACUCCAGGCUUGCGGUCGAUACGGGCAGGCUCGAGUUCGGUAGGGGAGACUGGAAUUCCUGGUGUAGCGGUGAAAUGCGCAGAUAUCAGGAGGAACACCGGGUGGCGGAAGGCGGGUCUGCGUGGGCCGAUACUGACGGCUGAG
rnacentral:rRNA from 1 species